rnacentral:ncRNA from 23 species
CUCUUAUCGAGAGAGGCGGAGGGACUGGCCCGAUGAAGCCCGGCAACCUGCCCGUAAGGGCAUGAGGUGCCAACACCAGCGACCGACAGGUCGAGUGAUAAGAG